UGAUUGUUCCUACUACCAAUUCAUAACAGAAUUGUGUACCAUGAAACAAACUGGUCGCCACUUGGAAAGGCUCUGGAAGAAGAAUGCUCUGGCUGUUUACGUCCUGGUUUACACCAAACACCUGAAGGAAUACAGAUGUGACUUAUUGGCUGCAGGUUCAAAAUACUAUUCCACCCUUACUGACUUUGAUACUUGUCGCCCUAGAUCUCUUUUUAGUACAGUUAACAGACUUUGUCAACCUGCUGUUAAAAAUCCUAAUUCCUCUGUUGAGCACUGUAGUGUAUUUCUGGAUUAUUUUCAGUCAAAAAUUCUGACCAUAUAUCAAAGUUUCUCCACUAAUGUUUCCUCAACUCCGUCGACAGAUUCUACUACUAAAUCUCCAGUUUAUUUAUCUAAAUGUAACCCCAGUACAUCAACUUACAUUGCUGAGGUAAUAUCUAAAUUAAAUUAAUCUACUUGCCACCUAGACCCUGCCCCUAGUCUACUGAUUAAGGCUUGUACUGACAAACUUUCUGCUCUCAUUUCUCACUUUAUCAACUGUAGUUUCCGCACCUGUGUUGUUCCAAAUGAUUUAAAAAACUCUGCUGUAACCCCUGUUUUACAAAAACCUGGCUUAGAUCCAUUAUAGGUAAAAUUUUAUCGCCCAAUCUCUAAUCUUCCAUUUACGACUAAAAUCUUAGAAAAAGUUGUAGCUGCUCAACUCAAUGAUUAUUUAAACUUGCAUAACAUGCUUGAGCGUUUUCAAUUUGGAUUCAGAGCCCUACAUAGCACUGAAACUGCUUUACUUAAGGUAACCAAUGACUUUCUUAUAACCGCAGAUUCUGGGGUGGCGGCUAUUCUAGUUCUUCUUGACUUAAGCACAGUGUUUGAUACAGUUAACCAUAACAUUUUAUUGUUCUGACUUUCAGCUAUUGGUAUCUCCGUUGCUGCUCUUGCUUGGUUCAUAUCAUACCUCAGUGAUCAUCAGUAUUAUGUCUUCAUUAGUGAAUACAAAUCUGCCACUACUUCACUCAUACAAGGUAUCCCUCAAGGGUCAGUUCUAGGUCCAAUCAAAUAUUUAACAAAUAUUUGCGCCCAUUAUGUGAUAUUAUUCGUCGGUAUGGUCUAAGCUUCCAUUGCUCUGCCAAUGACACACAAUUUUAUAGUAGUGUUGAUACAACUGUAACUCCAGUCUCUUUAACUCACCAAGAAUAAAGAAAUUGCUUUUUAUUUUAAAUUGGUGUUUUUGUAUCCCAUUGUUUUCAACUUAAGCGUUUACAGUUUUUGGUGGCCCGUACAGGGACAGAGACAGCUAAGUGACUCAUUGAGCAGGAUUGUCCAGAGGACCGGUGAAAGGACCGAUUCCGGCCGGGUCAGGAGGACCAGCUCUGGAAAAAGUUAGGACUGGACUGCCUUUGCCGAGUCCCGCAUAAGGAGCCCUUGACCCCCUCUGAUUUUCCUGAAUGUCGAGUGAACUGGGAACUUCCAGACGGGAGGAAAAAUUCGUGGUGAGUAGACCGAGGGAAUCUGACCGGGGGAAAGAAACCAGGCAGUGAAUGGACCGGAAUGUAUAGAUAACCUCUCGGAAAUAAAAAAGUGUAAAGAUUAUGAAUGUUAAGGACAUGAGUUAGUACACUCCCAAGGAAACGAAGAAGAAGUCUCUUAAAGGCUUAAAAGCAAAAUAAAGGAAGGGAGUGGGAAGAAUAGAUAAAUAACCAAACAUUUCGUAAUCGGGAAUAAGCACUGUUGCGGGAGGGCAAGACUCUUUGCUCUAACGGCCUGGUUAUAUCCUGAACUCAACGGGUCACUCAGGGAACUGAUCACCUAAACAGCGGUAUCCAGCGGCCUUCGGCUGAGACUGUCAGUCCGCUAAUCAGGUUGAUCGUCCUGGUGGACCAGGGGACAGGAGGGACCAGGAGUGAAGCGACAAUGAGAGGCUGGUUUAGCAAAAAGAGUGUGGAAAACUCACUGGCCAUGGGGAAAACUAAUAGUAAACCAGUUAAAACUCCUUUGGGAAACCAAAAGCCCCUGUUGAAAGGAUUGUUUUCGGAGGGAGGAAUUUGAAUAUUAAAGCCGACUGAAACUGGAAAACUUGGCUCUUCUGCUUUGCAAAGCAUGAGUCCACAUACUCAUCUGUGACUGAAUAAAGACUAAUUGAUUGAACUAUUCCUGUCUUCCUCGGGUGUUACUUCCUGAGCGAAGGUGCGAUUUGCAGACAAGAAUAAGAUCGGUGACCAGUGAACACAACUGCUUUACCAUCGGGGAGAGGUACUGGGGAUGUAACGAUAAGAGCACCUCUUGGAAUGAGACGGAGUCCUAAGUAGACUCGUAAUUAGAAGAGAGAGGUGAAAGUUUAGUAAAAAGGGAAAGUACCUCCCAGUCGGGGAUUCGCUAAAGAAAGAAAUUGAAAAAACAGGGUGUGAAUGAGGAGCCUCUGUUUGGAGGAUUGUUUUGGAAAAUGUACCAAGGAAAAAAAAAAAGGUGACUUUCCAAGACACUACAUAGAACAGAAAACAGGGUUAGAUUUAAAAAAUAAUGUAACAGAGCGGGGGCAGGUGGUCAGUAGAAGGCUCUGGUGAUAUGAGUGAAAUGCAGGAAGUUAGGAAGAUUGUAUAUAGAAAUGCAUAAGGGUGCUGUAGUAGAGAAAAUGGAAAUGUUUGAUAGAUGGGAAUUGAUAAUUAAAGAUAGAGCCCCGAAAGCGAUGCAGAAGUGCAAUGAGGGACUGCAAAGCUAAAUGAAACUUAUAGCAGAAAAAGAAAAGUUGUUCUUGAUAAUGCAAGAACCAUCCCAAAAGUUUGGACAAAAGAAGGAAGAAUAAGUAAACAAAAAUAAAAUAAAUAAAAAGAAGAAAAACAGAUUAUACCUUGAUUUAGCGUCAGCAUGCAUUUAAACUCCCUUUGAGGACAAUAGUCCAUCACUACCCCUUGGGGCAACUGGAGGAAUUAAUGAAGGAGAGGAAGAAGAUGGUCUCAAUGAUUUCUAAAAUGAACAGUUUCAGCCAGAGAGAGAUGAAGAAAAGGGAGAGGGUUGAGAUCACCACCGACCUCAGUUACGAUCAGUGCAAGCAAGUACUGAGGCACAAAGACAUGGCUCGGGGGAAAGAGAUGCCUCAUAAGCCCCAAUUCUGACCCCUUAGGGUCAAAGAUGAAUAUGAAAGGAUGGAAUUUCAAGCACCAUUAAUACAGGUGCCCAUUCCGCAGUAUAAUGUACAAUAGCCUGACUCAGAUUAAAACUGUCCCACCUUGAUGGUGCAAAGAAACUGGGACCUGCAAGAAUUAAAAGAGGUGGUGCAGGAAUUGUUGAACCAGUUCGUGAUGGCGGAGAAACAGUUAGAUAACAUGAAUAAGCCAAAUGCUGCAGAAUGGAUUCAGGUCCUUAGAAGGAAGCUAAUUCCAAGCUGAAAUGAUGUGAGAGGGCAAUGGAAUGAGACUUUGGGACGGCAGGGGGUUGAUAGUGGCCAGUUCAGUGUUCAGUGGACAGUUACAAGCACAAAUAAAUGCAAAAUAUAUCAGCCCUCUAAUGCCCAGUGAACUUGUUUAGACAGACUUGAUGGCCCGCCCGUGCCUUUGUAUCUCAGUUACGGAAAUGUGAGUGAAGGUUACAUCAGAACAACACACUGACCACCACCAUUACAUGCUCCUGUGCUGCCUUGAUUGUUCAUGUUUUUCUCAAAACAGCAAAAAUCUCUGCUGACCUGAGUUCCUCUUGGAUUACAGUUUUCAAAUUUUUUUUUACUGUAUUGCAUGAUUUUUUGGACUGCAUUAUGGUGAAGUCUUUUUAGCUGCUGCUGUCAGAAAAAGAGACAAUUUGCAUAACGAACUGUUAUAUCCCAGCAGAAUUGGCUGGAGCAGUAUCUCUUUUUGUCACAUCAACUGCUUUUCUUCUGGAGUGGUUCUAUCCCACAUAUCCCCAUUGCUAAAUCCGCUCGCUUUCAGUGGCAUAAUGUGAGACAAUGGGUAUUAGCAUGUCAGGAAGGGGAGGAUUGGGAGUAUGUGGGACCUAAUAUUUGGUCCACCCCAGAUGGAUCUGUUAAGAAAAUUGCAGUAGGACGAGUUGUACCUGUAACCCAAUCGCUCUGUCAUUUAUCUUCCACCUCUCCACCUACACCCAUGCUGUUUACCCUUUAAAUCUUUUAGUUAGAUUCGCUCCACUCAUCUCCCUGGGUACAAGAGAAAUGAUAUUUUGUCUGAAUAGCUCAUGUUGAACCCUUGGUCAUUUUCCCAAAGUCAUUCUUCUGUUUACCUUGUGCACAGUGUCUUUUUACGCUUGAGGCUGAGGCCAGUAUUACCAUAAGUUCAUGCUGACUUAGUUAAGCGGGGUGCUAUUAUUAUGAUCCAAUACUUUCCUGUGAACUCUCCUAUUCUUCCAGUUAGAAAGUAGAUGACUCAUGACGGUUCGUUCAGGAGCUCCACGGAGUCAAUGCUGCUAUACACCCUAGGACUCCUAUAGUCCCGAAUCCUUCCACUAUUCUCUCUACAGUUCUGUCCACUGCUAUGUGGUUUUCUGUUACUGAUCUCGCGAAUGCUUUCUUUUCAAUUCCUGUUCACCCUGACUCCCAGUUCUGGUUCGCAAUUCACUUCUAAUGGGAAGCGUUGGACCUGAACUGUGAUGCCACAGGGAUAUACAGAGGCAAUUGGUGCGUGUGUGCAUGUGUGUGUGAGCAUGUUCAUGUGUGUAUGGACAAGAAUUAGAAAAGAUAAAGGUUAUUGGCCAAAGGGGGGUAGUGUCCUGGUGCAAUAUGUAGCUUGAGUUGCUUUCAUGCUCUGAGGCUCAGGAAUAAUGCAAAGAAGACAAAAAGGUUUUGUUGGUCUUCCUAGCGGAAAUCGGGCACAAAGUGUCCCGGAAAAAGUUGCAACUGAUUAAAGAAAAGUGAAAUACCUGGGUCAUGAUUUGACUUCAGGGGAAUGUGCACAGUCUACAGGGCAGCAAGUUAUGUCCAUUCUUGGAAUGUUAGGAAAUUGCCGGCAAUGGGUUAAAAAAAGAUUUAUUUUUUUUUGCUGAAAAAGCACAGCCACUUCAAGAUUUAGUGACCUCUUCUAAUUUGGUUUUGACUGAUAAAAUUUCAUAGAAGGAGCAGGCUGAGAAGGCUUUAACUGAUAUACAAUAAAUUAUGAUGUCUGCGCCUGCGUUAAGACUUCCAGACUAGUCUUGUCCUUUCACUGUGUUCGUGGACAAGAAAGGGGGGUGUAUGACUGUAGUAUUAACUCAACAACAAGGAGAUAGACAAGGACCGGUCGGAUACUAUUUAAAAAAAUAAAUAAAUACAUACAUAAAAACUGGAUCUAGUGGGCGCUACAAUCCCGGCCUGUUUGAAAGCAGCUGCUGCAACAACAGAGGCCAUGUUAGCAUGCUCAGAUGUUGUUCUCAUGAGUCUAUUAACUGUUAAGGUACCACAUGCUGUACAUUUCAUCUUAGUACAGACAAGAAUAUCUCAUUUGACAGGUGUGCUUGCGGUAGUGAAGUGUCAAACUCACAAGGGGAAAAUAAAUCCAGUGAGUGAGGGAAAUGCGCAAGCAGACAUGUGGGCAAAGAAAGCCGCCCGGGAUCCCACUUCACCACUAACCUCUUUAUUUCUAUAACAGAAGGAGGAACAAGAGUCACCCGAGGAUGUAGUUUUAUUUCUACAAAGUGUAGCAACGGAAAAGGAGAUAAAGACAUGGCAGAAAGAGAGAUCAGAAAAAGAUCCGAAAGGAAUUUGGAUCCAUCCAUUAACUAAACAUCCUUUUUUCCCAAAAGCUUCUUUCUAGGUAUUGUAAAGGCUGUGCAUGGUUUGGCCCACCCUUCCAGUAGACGCAAUGAUGGCACAGGUGCAACAAUCCUAACACGCCUGAGGUUUUCCAACUUUGCUGAUCAAUUCUGUAAGAGGCGUACACUAUGCCAAAGAUUUAAUGUAGGAAAAGGCUUGCAGGUCUGCGUAGUGCCUUACAGAUAGAGUGCAUGAACAAGUGAGGGAAAUGUAGUGAACUACCUCAUUACCUGACACGUAAAUUUCUAUACCAAAUGGGACUUAGGCUCUCAUUAGAGACACACGGUGAAAACACUGGCACCAACCCAGGUGAAGAGGACCAUUCCAGGUGACUCAUGAGUUCCCUGACGGUAAAAGUGGCUCACGCUGUUCACUCCAUCUUAGUCUAGGCCAAAAACCUCACAUCUCACUACUGUAAGGGCAAUACACUAUUAAAAUGUACUCUGUACCCUGUCAAAUGUCACUACUGAAAGAUGCUCAACUCUGAAUCCGACCACCUUACUCCUCAAUGAGGGAGGGGGGAACGACACGACUGCCAUAAUGAGAUAACAAAGGUCCUGAAACCCAGGCCGGACCUCCAGGAAACUCCACUAUAAACAGGAGAAGUACUUUAUGAGGACAGCUGUUCCUUUGCGAUUAGAUGAUGGAACACUUCACCAGUUAUGCAGUGGUCAAAGGAGACCACUUACUUGAAGCAAAUCGAAUCUCUUCUAGUUUAAGCGCACAAGCAGCUGAGCUAAUAGUUCUCACCUGAGCUUGCCAGUUGUCUGAAAGGAAGGUCAUAACCAUCUAUAUAGAUUCCAGAUAUGCCUUUGGAGUCAGCCAUGAUCAUGGGGCAUUAUGGAAAUUAAGGGGAUUCAAAACCAGUACAGUGGAACCUCGAAAUUAGUGGAAUCCCUUCUCGAAGCUAUAACAAAACCAUCGAAACUGGCAAUAGUUAAAUGCCAAGCCCAUACUGGGAAACGAGACCCAGUCAGCCAAGGAAACGAACUGGCUGAUCACUUUGCUAAACAGGCCGCCUAUAAUAACACACCAGUCUCUUUAUUCCAGCAGAAGGAUGACAAAGACCCUGAUAAUCAAAUUAUUUCUUUACAGAGUGCCGCCACUGACCGAAAAAGGAUAAAGUGGUCCCGAGAAGGAUCCCUCUCAGAUGGGGUCUGGACCCAUAAGCAAACUAACAAACCUUUCCUCCCAAAGAUUUCUUUUCCAGGAAUGGCAAAAAUCGCACACGGCCUGGGUCACGCAGGAAAAGAAGCUAUGACUCAGGAUGUCGAACGACAUUGGGAAACCACAGGGUUCUCUGCAUAUGCUGAACAAUUCUGCCGACAGUGUGCCCUAUGUCAAAGGUACACUAUAGGCAAAGGAACUCAGGUAAUCCUGCCGUUACCCCGAAACCAGUGGGUCCAUUUGAGCAUCUUCAAAUGGACUUCAUUGAACUAACGCCUUCCAAAGGAUAUCAAUACUGCCUCGUAAUUGUGGAUGUGUUCUCCCAGUGGGUUGAGGUUUUUUCUUCUAAGCAUGUCAAUGCAAAGGCAGUGGCUAAAACUUCAAUAAAAGAAAUUAUUCCAAGAUGGGAAAUACCACAGAAACUGCAGACCGAUAACGGUGCCCACAUUGUGAAUUCCGUAAUAAAUGAACUGACUACUUGGCUCCAGAUAAAUGUAUAUCAUUACUGCAAAUACCAUCCCCAAAGUGGAGGUAUUGUAGAAAGGUGCAAUGGCACCCUAAAAUCAAAAUUGGCAAAAAUCUGUGAGCAGACAAACUUAACCUGGCCAGAUGCUCUACUCCUGGCCUUGAUUGGGUUGAGAGAAAGGACACAACGGCAGUUGGGACUGUUGCCAUUUGAAAUUUUAACCGGACGCCACAUGCCCGUUGGCAUGAUUAUCGGAAAUGUCACUCUGCAUACUGUGGACAAUGAUCUUCUCUCCAGUCUUACAGGUCUACAAGCCUCCCUGAAGGAAGUCCACGAGCAGGUUAACCAGGCUUGGCAGACCGGUCCCCCACCGACAGAGUUCCAGAUCCCCCUUGGAACCUGGAUACUGGUCAGAGACACCUGAAGGAAACAUUGGCAUCAACCUCGCUGGAGGAAACCAUUCAAGGUGCUGCUAUCUGCACCCCACAUGCCGUGAAGGUUGAAGGACUCUUUUCUUGAAUGCAUGUCUCUCACUGUAAAAAGUGGACUGAAUCAUUAAGCUGUUGCUAUUUUUUGGACUUUCUGUGUUGGGACUCUGUCAAGGGAUUAUUCUCUUUUUCUUAGAGGAAAAUCUGCGAUAUAAGUGGUUGAAGGUUACUGUUACACAAUUAAGAACAGAUUCUUGUUAUGUAUGUGCCACUGCUAAACCCUAUCUCCUAGUUGUAUCCCUUCCCAAUAAUCAUUUUUAAUUGUGAUAUUUUUAAGGAUGCACAUAACUUUCCUGGUUGCCCUUUCAAGUGUAUCUUAAUGUCAGGAAGUACACGCUAGAAAUGCUCCUAACUGAAAAGUGAGGGUUGUGUGUGUUGUGUUCAGCAACAGUUUCAGUACCUUUAUUCCUAACAACACUGCCCCUGU